rnacentral:lncRNA from 1 species
AGAAACCGGUUCGCUAGAAGACGAAACAACUCUUUCCCUAGUUGAGUUUUCUUGAUGAACUUUGUUUACGGCAGAGGACCACAGACUACCAAAAGCAUCACCAUUAGAUCCAGAAGAUUUGGCAGCAGUAGGUUGUUGUGAGGUUAAUCCGAGACCGGCUUGUGAAGAGGUAUUAGACAAUCCGGAUGACAUACCAAACGCAGAUGUAUAACCCGUAUUAAAGGUAGUAGGUUGAGGUGUAAAGGCACUGGAUGAUGUGGGAAGUUGAUUUAAACUAUUAAAGCCACCGAACGAAAUUGACGAAAAGGCAGCAGUAUUUGAAGCGGGUUUGGCGGAGGGAGCGCUUUGAAAAUCAUCAAAAGCAUCAUCGUCAUUUUUAGCAGCAGUUGAAGCAGUUUGAGAGCCCAUAAAGAGAGAGGCAUUGUUUAAGGUGGAAGAAGCUGGGGCAGCGGCAGAACUUUGGAAGUCACCGAAGCCAUCAUCUUCGAACGCCAAAGGAGCAGAAGUAUUUGUUUGUGGUUGGGCAGGAGAAGGCUCAUUGUCAAGACCCAAUAAAUCGAUCAUUGCAGAUUCCUGUUUUGGCUGCUCGGGAGCUUUGUCAGAUUGUUUGGUAGUAGUGCGACGUGAGCCACGCGUGGAGUUUGCGGUUGCAGCAUCGCUGGAACCACCAUCUCCAUCUUCAUUGUACUCCUCUACAUCGUUAUCGGAUGCAUCACGGGAAUCACUCAUAGAAGAUGAAUCAUGGUAUCCAUUACCAUAAUCGGUAAAGCCGCCACCGUCUCCGUAAACGCGAGUUCUAUAAGAACCACGGGAAGAGCCAAAGCUAGGAAACCUAGAUUUAGAGCUAGUGGAAAUCCUAGAAUCUCCAUCACUACCAACACCUAUAAAUUUACCACGAUUUUGACGCGCUCUCUUGCGUUCCUUACGGAUACGUUCGCUAUCGUUUAGUAAUUCCACCAGCUCUUUAGCUCGAGUUCGAACAUUAAGCCCUUGGUCCUUUUGACGAUGGUCGAUGUAGUGAAAAUUACGAAGCAUUUUAAUAGUUGCUUGAUGUGCUCGAGCAUCAUCUACCACUCUUUCAGACCCGUUCUUGACCAAAAACUCCAGAAGCUGAAGUGCUUUGUAAAUUUGACGCCAUUCUUCUGCAGUUUUUUCGGUAAACCGACGGUAGAUCAUUGGUAAAAUUUCGUUUAACUGAGAGUAGUUGUGAGUUCCUUGGGCAAUUUCCAUCAUCAAAGAAGUACUAGCGCCCCAGGGUUCAUUAUUCGUUGCUUCACGAACUCUGGCUUCCAUAGAUGUAUAAUUCAUUACAACAUUUUGUGCUUUACGAACCGCCGCCUUGAUAUCGUAAAGGUUGAUGUUCUUCAUCGUCGAUUGAAUGGACUCCAUCUUAGAUAAUGUUUUACUUUCUUGGAUUUCUAGUUCCUAAAGGAAUUUAUAUCCAAUUGUUUAAAUGAAACUUUUUUAAAGAAGUUUUCGCUUCUCAAAGAACGCGUAGGCAACGAGUAUGGAAGUAUUGUUGUCGGUGGAUGGGGAAAUCAGAUUUCUCAGUCUAGCCGCGGCUCCUUUUUACUUUAUCAAGAAACUGCAUCAUAUAUCUUUAUUCUGCUUUACUGAGAGAAUUUUUUUUUAUU